GAUGAACGCUGGCGGCGUGCUUAACACAUGCAAGUCGAACGGAAAGGUCCUGCUUUUGUGGGGCGGGCGAGUGGCGAACGGGUGUGUAUCACGUGAGUAUCAUGCACUUGACUGUGGGAUAACUUCUGGAAACUGGGGAUAAUACCGGAUAGGAGCUCCUGCCGCAUGGGGGGGGAUGGAAAGUUUCGGCGGUGGGGGAUAGACUCGCGGCUUAUCAGCUUGCUGGCGGGGUAGUGGCUGACCAAGGCAUUGACGGGUAGCCGGCCUGAGAGGGUAACCGGCCACAUUAGGACUGAGCUACGACCCAGACUCCUAUCGGACGCAACAGAGGAGAGUAUUGCACAACAGACUGAAGGCUGAUGUGGUGACGCCGCGUGCGGUAUGACGGGCUUUGGGUUGUAAACCACUUUCGCCUGAGACGAAGCGUUAGUGACGGUACUUGAUAAAGAAGCACCGGCUAACUACGUG
rnacentral:rRNA from 1 species